CCAACACAUUAUAAACAGACAAAACAUUAGAUUGAGGAGGUCUGAGAAAGUUGCUAUCUCCAACAUUAUUUCCAAGUUAUCUCAUAAUAUGUAUGCAAGUACAGUGGAUCCUCUACUCUCAGAGCAUCCCAACUUAGGAGAGUUUUGAGUUUUCACUUUAACACAAGACCAGCAUUUUGAGUUAAGAGCUGGCAUGAGAGGGAAUGCUAGAUUGAGAGUAUAGGGCUUCUGGGCCUCAAGGGAGCAGCCUCCAUGCCUCAUGCUCCUGUCCACUAUGAGGAACUUUGGGUGUGCUCCUUUAACAGUCCUAGAAGCAGCCCCAGCUCCCUGAGGAAGAGCAUCACCUGUUAAACUUCGCCUUGCCAUUCAGUUGUUGAAGAUAUAGGAGCCCUGCCAGCAGUUCUUUUCAACCACUGUUAGAAAAGUGAGCUUGCAAAGUAGCAUUCCCUCUUUAUAGCAGUUGCUUGCAUUGAAAUCAAUUUCCUUCGCAUGGAUGAUCGCAGUCACAGGAUAGGGGCAAAAGGGGCGAAUGAAACCUAGUUGUGGUACCCUGCUUUGAAUGCAGAAUGUCCUUGGCUGUCAAGUUUACAGCCGGAUCCCCGGGGCAGUUGAGCUGAGGUGUGACAGCGUGUGUUGUUGGGCAGCGCCCCACUUUCCUCAUUAGACUUGCACAUCAACUCAAGAGGGAAGAUCAGCAAGAAAGGAACUAUGGAAGAAUACUUCAAUAUAUGGCAACAGCUGCCCGGAUAGAAGAAGGACUCAAUUAUUUUGGGAGAAGAUUCAAAAUUAAUAAUUUCUCAUAAAUGGACAAACCUUCUAUUUGGAAUAAAGAAAACCUUUUUUUGUUAAAGAUUGGAAACCCCUAAUUGAGUUUUUUUAAAAAACAAAAUGAAGAUAGUUUAAUUAUUAUCAGUUUUAUCAAUUAGUUGAGGUAAAUACAUAGAUAGAAUAUAAGGAUCAAAUUAUAACUGCAGAAAAGAUAGAAGUAAGAUCCCAUCUACACUGCUGUAAUAAUGCAGAUUGAAACUGCAUUAUUUGGUUAGACUAGAUGCAUAUAAUGCAGUUUCAAACUGAGUGUACAAUGCAGUUUCAAUCUGAGGCUCCUUCCAACUCUAGUUGUAGUUGGAAGUCAUUUUUGGUCUUUGUUCCCUAUUAAAAAUAGUUCUUUAUUAGUUUAAUGGCAGGUGUGUUAACAAUUAUAUUUCAGCUUUGUGUUAUGUGGUUUGUAGUUAGUAGAUUAUAAUUUGUUGCAUGUGUAAUUCACAUAUGGAUCUACCCAUAGCAUUUUGUGGUCAAUCGAUAGUAACAUUGCCAUGAAGACAUAUUUUAAAUAAGAUGCUGGUUUCAAGGAAUUUUAUCUCCAAGUAAGCAGCUAGCCUGGCAUCCAAGUCUGCCGAAAGUAUGUAGCUAGUGCAAUGGGAAGAAAUUAUUCCUCUAUGCUGGAUGCUGUAAAUUCAGCAUUGCACUUCAUAGGACCAGUGGCCAAUGGCCAUUAGAUAGAAAGCCCUCUGGAACCUCCCUGCCUUGAGGCUACUCCUCUUGUCUUUCCACAAUUAGGUCACCAAGGACAACAAAAUUCUUGCCAUCAUUAUGGUUAUCAUAUUCUCAUAGGGCACACAGGAGAACACAAUUUGUUAGGACUGAUAUAAGAAAACGUUUAGACCCCUGGCAACAAAAACAAUUUAUGUCAUAAAAUUGUUAAAAAUCAGUAUUUCUGUUUCCCAAAGUCUGUGCUUUUCUUAGACAAUCUGUUAUGUGCCACAAUGAUUCAAGGCAGCUCAAUUGUAAUAUAACUGUGCAGCACAACACUGUUUUUACAAUGUGUGUGUAUGAGGUCAACAUUGGCAAAGAAGAUAAUGCUUAAUUUUGUCUACUUGCAAGUACUGAAAAAAAUAAAUAAAAUGCAGUACUUUA